AGUGAAUAGAUACCCAGGUAGUCCUAGCCGUAAACGAUACUCGCUAGGCGUCGGCCACGGUGCGACCGUUGUCGGUGCCGUAGGGAAAGCCGUGAAGCGAGCCACCUGGGAAGUACGGCCGCAAGGCUGAAACUUAAAGGAAUUGGCGGGGGAGCACCACAACGGGUGGAGCUUGCGGUUUAAAUUGGAUUCAACGCCGGAAAUCUUACCGGGACCGACAGCAACAUGAAGGCCAGGCUGAAGACUUUACCGGAUUAGCUGAGAGGUGGUGCAUGGCCGUCGUCAGUUCGUACUGUGAAAGCAUCCUGUUAAGUCAGGCAACGAGCGAGACCCACGCCCACAGUUGCCAGCGUACUCUCCGGAGUGACGGGUACACUGUGGGGGCCGCCGCUGCUAAAGCGGAGGAAGGAAUGGGCAACGGUAGGUCAGUAUGCCCCGAAUAUCCCGGGCUACACGCGAGCUACAAUGGUUGGUACAAUGGGUAUCUACCCCGAAAGGGGUAUGGAAAUCUCCUAAAGCC
rnacentral:rRNA from 1 species